AUUAUCUUGCCAGAUAAAUAAAGAUAUAGAGUGGAUUUCUUACAUUCAUUGAUGGAGGGGAAUUUGUUGCUUUAUGGCAUGAUUUAGAGUGGAAGCUUCUUUCAUGGGCAUGGUUAACCUGCUUAUUCUGUAUUCUAGAAAUGGCUGUGAAAUCAGCAACAAAUAUAUUUCAGGCUCCUUGGGGUUCAUAACUGACCCAUAUACAGUAAUCACAGCACUGCUAGCUGGGUUCAUUCACAACAUGGUCAACGCAUUCUUUUUCGCUGGGUUGCAACUACAAGGGAUUCUUAAAAUUUGUUGGCGCAUGAGGCUGCAUUUGAUUUGGGUCAAAUGCAAGAUGCUGAAGCUAUCCCUGCUUUUUUUGAAGCAGUUUUGAAUGAUUUUUUCUUUGCAUCCGAUUGUUCGUCAU